rnacentral:rRNA from 1 species
UACGUAGGGACCGAGCGUUGUCCGGAAUCAUUGGGCGUAAAGAGCGUGUAGGCGGCCUGGAAGGUCAGCUGUGAAAACUCGAGGCUCAACCUCGAGACGUCGGUUGAAACCACUUGGCUAGAGUCCGGAAGAGGAGUGUGGAAUUCCCGGUGUAGCGGUGAAAUGCGCAGAUAUCGGGAAGAACACCCGUGGCGAAAGCGGCUCUCUGGAACGGUACUGACGCUGAGACGCGAAAGCGUGGGGAGCGAACAGG